UUGAAGGGCCCAGGCAGGAGGCCAAGCAGGUGCUGUUGAUGACCCUGUCACAGCACAGGGGAGCCUGAGAGCACCCAGAGCACUGGCCAGAAAAUCCAGCAGCUACAAGCCCAAAGUGGGAACCUGGACCAGAAAUGCAACCCCCUCCCCUCACUGGUGGCAAGGGACACCUCUGUCAUCAUCUGCUUCCUCUGAGGAUUGAUGCAGGCAGCCGAGCAAGACCCUGACUCCUGCAUGGCCCUGACUCACUGGAGGCUGACAGAAGGCUAAGGAGCCACUUCAGAAGCUGGACCCCAACUCAAUCCCACGGAGACUGAAUCUCAGUGCUACCACGCCCUGCUGCUCCAACAAAAAUCCAGCACAGGACAGCUACGAACAGAAGAGCUCUUCAGGACAGGAUCUAUGGCCUGGCUCCAGCUGGAAAGGACAAAAUGCACAGAGCAUGUGCAGCUGGAGGCACCUCCUGUUUGAUGGUGAGCUAAGAGCAAUGCUGCAGAGCCCUCCCAGCACAGGUGAGCUGUCCUACAGAGCCCUCCCAGCACAGGUGAGCUGUCCUACAGAGCCUUCCCAGCACAGGUGAGCUGUGCUGCAGUACCCCGAGUCAGUCCAAGGCCAUAAAGGCACCCAAGGAAAUCCCAGCCUGAAUCAAGCAUCACCAUGCACACACCCACCUGGACAAGGAACCUGUCUGCCUCUGCACAACGGGUGCAAGCAGGUAUAUUUGACAAAUAUGGUGCUCACAAGCACAUUCUUCAGUCUAGACAUUUCUUGGACAGGUCCUAAGCUUAAAUCAGUUAGCUACAUUAACACUAUGUAAAUCAUGGGUUUAAGACAGCAGCAUUGUGAUUUGGCAAUCAGGAAUGUUUUGGCUUCAGUGAACUCCAAGACAAACAUAACAGCAUUGAACUUGGGAAUUCAAAGUUGUAGUUUUAUAAAAUUAUGACAAAAUGCAAUUUUUUAUUGGAACUUAAGAUGUUAACUAGGAAUUUUGCUUCCCAAGACACCUAGGGAAGUUCUGAGUUACACAGCCAUCAAAAAUUAUUUUCAAAAUUGUUUCUUAGUCCCCCUGGCGUUUUUGAACUUUGAGGUAUGUGUAAUUCUUCUUGAUGUAGUGUCAUUUUGCAAACACUUCUUGAUAAAGCUUUGAGGAGCAAUAUGAAACAUGAUCUUUGCCACAGCUGCUAGCAAGAACCUUUCAAGUGAGAAUUGUGAAAUUAACCAUUAGGACAGUUUUAUGCUGUUCUUCAGGAAACCUAUGAGAAAUAUGGGGUUUUAUAGAUCCUAAACUGAGCAGAUCUGCCAGUUUCAGGGGAAAGGACACUGCAGCAGUCUUCUCCACUCUGCACCCAGCAGAGACAAAAGUAAACAUUUUACCUAACAGCAGUCAAAUAUUAGGACUAAACUGUAUUGAAAAAAAAAAAAAAUGACAGAAGCAAAUAGCCCUUACUGGCCUCUUGCUAGUAAAGCCAUGAACCCACCUUCUCAGAUUUCACUUGGUAAACACUUAGUAAGGAAAGCAUUUUAAUUUAGAGCAAUUCCUGUUUCAAAUAGCAUAAACUAUAUAAAACAACUAAAUAAUCCUGUUUUAUCACUAGAUCUGUAGUGGCUUGGCUGUUUGAACGUGAGCAAGGCUAGAAAACAUGCAUAUUGAGUAAUAUUGUAUGGGGUACAUGUAUAACUUAAGUAGAGGGUAAUUACUCAAAGUUGUAGUCUCCUAAGUUUUGUCAGUAUAGCUGCUUCCAAAGUUUACAGUGCUCUUGAAAGAAACACUUUGUAAAAGACUGAAGUCUUAACUAGUGAACUUCCUUCAAGAUUAAGUACAGAUUGAUGCUUUUCUUGGUGGGGUCAGGUCAGGCCUAGCAGAGAACCCUAAUGAGGCAGAAGGAAAGGAAAAAAAGAAAAUGUUUCUUUCACCAACCCAAAUUUUCGCUGACAACUCACUUAAAGGAGGCUGCACAUCAGGAAAGCUGUGAGGAACCUUUUAUACAACAUCUGCCCAUGGCAAAUUCAUCUCCCUGCUCUAUCUAUCCCUAUUGUUUACACACAAAUUAAAUCAUCCCAUUCCCCACCCCAUCAUCACUUCCCUCUCAAUUUUUCCCUAUUUAUUCAACUGCUUGACAUGGAAGCCUCUAAAAUGCAUAAUAGGAGGGCAUUAUCACCUCUAUCUUCUCAGCUGAAUGUCCCCACUAUUAGAGGAAAUAUAAACAACAGAAAUUAAAGACUAUGCAUCUUAGAAAAAGAAGGCAGCAACUGCUGCCAGCUAAAUGUUACUGCAACAGAGCCACUUCCAGGGAAAAUCAGCUGCUAUAACUGACCUGGUUAUGUAGGUCAAUAAAGUUACUAAUUCAAAGAUAAAGUGCGAGUCAGUCCUGCUAAGAUACACUCUUAAUACACUUUUACAAAAGCCAUUGCUUCAUAAAAGACAUAUUUCUGAAAGGUCAGAAUGUUCUCCUCCAUACUUUGAAAGGACAUGCAAAAUAUGCAUGAAUCCCACGAGCUGCUGUUCACCCUCAAGCGCCCAAUACCAGACACAACCUCAGCUAUAGUUGCCAGGGUUUCAACCAUCACUAAAAACCACCAGAUUUUUAAACAUGCAAGACUUCAUGAGUUUUACAAAACAAGCUCAGUGCCUUAUACACUAUUAUUUAAUUAAAGUGAAACACAAAUGUUCCUACAGCCUUUCCUAAUGAAUUCCAUACGUGAUUCCAUAUUGUGGAUGAGUGCACAAGGCAGGUGACCAGAUGUUUGCUCUGUCAAAUAAAUCAAGAUAAUUUCUUUCCCUAGAAAUCUUUGCACAUCAGCAAAAAUCAUCCUGUCUAACAGAGUUUGCUUCUGCUCCCUCUCUGCCCUAAGACAGUCCCUUUAUCCAAAAAAAGUAAGUGCAAAACCGCCUAAAUCGCUCUGACAGCAAGAACUAGGAAUACGUGAACAACAAGAAGAUGCAAUUUCUGAUUUUAAGAGAGGCAAAGCACUGUAACUAUUUAAAUAUCAGUUUUCCCA